CAGUAGCCGCGGUAAUACGAAGGGUGCAAGCGUUAAUCGGAACUACUGGGCGUAAAGCGUGUGUAGGCGGUGAGUUAAGUCUGCUGUGAAAUCCCCGGGCUCAACCUGGGAAUGGCAGUGGAUACUGGCUCGCUAGAGUGUGUCAGAGGAUGGUGGAAUUCCCGGUGUAGCGGUGAAAUGCGUAGAGAUCGGGAGGAACAUCAGUGGCGAAGGCGGCCAUCUGGGACAACACUGACGCUGAGGCACGAAAGCGUGGGGAGCAAACAGGAUUAGAUACCCCGGUAGUCCCUGUCUCUUAUAC
rnacentral:rRNA from 1 species